GGUCCUUGAGCCAGAAACGAUAGAAGGCCUUUCAAUCAUUUUUCCAGAGAAAGAUUAGUCAGAAAAGAAGCUGUUGAUUUUCACUCCACAUCAGAGACUGAUGGGAAUUCAAAUAAGAAGCAAUAAAUUAUUGGCUUAUGAGAAAAUGUAGACCUUCUUGAAUAAAGUUGUGGUAAUUCUUUUUUUUUUUGUAUCCCAAACAUUGAAAAAUAUUUAUCUUCCCCU
rnacentral:lncRNA from 1 species